rnacentral:rRNA from 1 species
UAGUGGCGAACGGGGUGAGUAACACGUGAAUAACCUGCCCUGGAGUGGGGGACAACAGUUGGAAACGACUGCGUAAUACCGCAUAAGCCCACAGAGCCGCAUGGCUCAGGGGGAAAAGGAGCAAUUCGCUUCAGGAUGGAUUCGCGUCCAAUUAGCUGGAUGGUGAGGUAACGGCCCACCAUGGCGACGAUUGGUAGCCGGACUGAGAGGUUGAUCGGCCACAUUGGGACUGAGACACGGCCCAGACUCCUACGGGAGGCAGCAGUGGGGAAUAUUGCACAAUGGGGGAAACCCUGAUGCAGCGACGCCGCGUGGAGGAAGAAGGUCUUCGGAUUGUAAACUCCUGUCGUUGGGGACGAUAAUGACGGUACCCAACAAGAAAGCCACGGCUAACUACGUGCCAGCAGCCGCGGUAAAACGUAGGUGGCAAGCGUUGUCCGGAAUUACUGGGUGUAAAGGGAGCGCAGGCGGAAGGACAAGUUGGAAGUGAAACCCACGGGCUCAACCCGUGAACUGCUUUCAAAACUGUUUUUCUUGAGUGGUGUAGAGGUAGGCGGAAUUCCCGGUGUAGCGGUGGAAUGCGUAGAUAUCGGGAGGAACACCAGAGGCGAAGGCGGCCUACUGGGCACUAACUGACGCUGAGGCUCGAAAGCAUGGGUAGCAAACAGGAUUAGAUACCCUGGUAGUCCAUGCCGUAAACGAUGAUUACUAGGUGUGGGAGGAUUGACCCCUUCCGUGCCGCAGUUAAACACAAUAAGUAAUCCCCCUGGGGAGUACGACCGCCAGGUUGAAA